AACGUAGGAGACAAACGUUAUCCGGAGUUACUGGGCGUAAAGGGCGUGUUGGCGGUUCGUUAAGUCUGGCGUGAAAGCUCUCGGCUAAACCGGGAGAGGUCGUUGGAUACUGGCAAACUAGAGGACGGUAGAGGCGUGUGGAAUUCCUGGUGUAGCGGUGAAAUGCGCAGAUAUCAGGAAGAACACCUAUGGCGAAGGCAGCACUCUGGGACGGUACUGACGCUGAGACGCGAAAGCGUGGGGAGCGAACAGG
rnacentral:rRNA from 1 species